rnacentral:rRNA from 1 species
GGCGAACGGGUGAGUAACACGUGGGUGAUCUGCCCUGCACUUCGGGAUAAGCUUGGGAAACUGGGUCUAAUACCGGAUAGGAGCCAUCUUUAGUGUGGUGGUUGGAAAGUUUUUCGGUGUAGGAUGAGCUCGCGGCCUAUCAGCUCGUUGGUGGGGCAAUGGCCUACCAAGGCGGCGACGGGUAGCCGGCCUGAGAGGGUGUACGGCCACAUUGGGACUGAGAUACGGCCCAG